CUACAAGAACAGAAAACAAUCCUUGACUGAUCUGAAGUUUUAUGGCACUUUUGGCAGUCAACUUUAGCGUAUCUCUAAGCAGGAUUCUCUAAGAACCUUGUUUUGUCACUUCAUUCAGACCAAGCGGAAAUU
rnacentral:sRNA from 1 species